AGCAGCCGCGGUAAUUCCAGCUCCAAUAGCGUAUAUUAAAGUUGUUGCAGUUAAAAAGCUCGUAGUUGAAUUUCGGGGUUAGUAGGUUGGUCAUGCCUCUGGUAUGUACUGGUCUCACUGAUUCCUCCCUCUUGACGAACUGUAAUGUCAUUAAUUUGGUGUUGCAGGAAAUCAGGACUGUUACUUUGAAAAAAUUAGAGUGUUUAAAGCAGGCUAAGGCUUGAAUACAUUAGCAUGGAAUAAUGAAAUAGGACGUUUGAUCCUAUUUUGUUGGUUUCUAGGAUUGACGUAAUGAUUAAUAGGGAUAGUUGGGGGCAUUAGUAUUCAAUUGUCAGAGGUGAAAUUCUUGGAUUUAUUGAAGACUAACUACUGCGAAAGCAUUUGCCAAGGAUGUUUUCAUUAAUCAAGAACGAAAGUUAGGGGAUCGAAGACGAUCAGAUACCGUCGUAGUCUUAACCAUAAACUAUGCCGACUAGGGAUCGGAUGAUGUUAAUUAUUUAAUGACUCAUUCGGCGCCUUACG
rnacentral:rRNA from 1 species